CUAUAUAAACCUCACAAGUUCCCUCUUUCCAAAGUGCAUCGAAACAGAGCGUUUUACGCUCCUCUCGUUUGUUCUCUCUUUCUCUCCUUUCUUUCUUCUUCCUCUUCUUUUCUGUUCAAUUUGAUUCAUGAUUUUGAUUUCUCGAUUCUAAAGUUUUGCAUGUUCGUUGUUCAGAUUUCUUUGAUCGAUCGAUAUGGAUUUGCGUUUAUCGGAUUGCAUAGAUAUGAAGAAUUUCACACUUCUUUUAUGGAUCAUCGUUUAUCGAGAAUUAUUUGUAUAGUUUUUGAAUUAUUGGAUGUAGUUCUUCAUAAUUGAAUAAAUCGAUACAUGUGUUUAUCGGUUUUGCAGCGAUCGUACGUUUGGAAUCUGGAUAUGAAAACGAAGAACGCCAAAAUCGCUCAAUGCUCGACCUAUCCCUGGGAUCAUCGGUUAUCAAUUAUUAUUUGAUUAUUGGAUAUAGUUCGUCAUAAUUGGAUAAUAUCGAUAUGUGUUUAUCCAUUAUGCAGUGAUCUUAAGUUUGGAAUCUGUAUCGUUUUGCUAUUCACAUGACAACAAAGAAUGCCAAAAUCGCUCUAUCCAUCUGUAGUUUAUGGAUAAUCGGUUAUCAUGAAUUAUUUGAUUAAUUAUUUGAUUAUUGGAUAUGAUUAUUUAUAAUCAAAUAAUAUCUAUAUGUGUUUAUCCGUUUGCAGCGAUCUUAAGUUUGGAAUCUGGAUCGUUUUGCUAUUCAUAUGAGAACGGAGAACAAAGAAAUCGCUUGCUCAAUGGAUCAUCGGUUAUCAAUAAUUAUUUGAUUCAUUAUUUGAUUAUUGGAUACAGCUCUCCAUAAUAAUUAGAUAAUGUAGAUAGGUGUUCAUGGUUUUGCAGCAAGGUGAACGUUUUUGAGAUUCUUGAUUCAACAGAUAAGAACAGAGAGCGGAAUCAAAUUUCUUCAAUGAUUUGUAUUUAUGCGCGUGGUUUGUCAUCAUACGAAUAACAUGGAGCCUGGACAUUUGAUUUGGUUAUAUCUUUCUUUGUUGAUUUGGAGAAUGAAAUUUUGAUUUCUUGAUUUGGUGUUUUACUUUCUUAAUUCUUUGCUCUGUGAUUGCUUAAUUUCAAGGUUUGUUAUAAUCGGGAUCGUAAGGAUAUACUUUUAACAGAUUGUAGAUAUCAAGAAUCAAGAAUUUCACACAAUCACACUUCUCUUCUUUACAAAAAAAUUUCUUAAAAUUCAUUUGAUAAUUAUUAUUUUCUCAAGAUUUUUAUAUAAUUAAUUAAUUCUUUAUUUGAUAAUCGAGAGAUCAUUUAUGGGUUUUGCAGUGAAACCUCUUGAUACAAGGGACAAAAACGGCUCCAGCUAGAUAAAUCAAAUUUCUUUAAUAAGUUCUUAAUAAUUUUAUUUUGAUUUGAUUGGAAGGCAUACAAAUUAUGCAGCGUGGUGGUUUGUCAAACUAAGCGGGGAUUUGGUGAUGUCUGUUAAAUUUUUCUUUUCAAAAUUUCUUCAUUGUUUUUUAUGUAUAAUAUUAAAUCCGUUAAUAUUUUUUGAUUCGGUGAUCUCUUUGGUUUUUCAGGAGAAAUAACCUAUGAAAACACGAUUUCUUCUGGUUCUAUCUUUCUUCCUCUAAUUUUGUAUUCUUUUUCAUUUAUGGGUUCAUGUGCGAUACGUAAAAAUUGGAUCAUGAACUUUCUUUUUCAGAUUGUUUUGUCCAAAUAAUAACCUCAUUCAUAGCAUAGAACCUCAACUCUUAAUAUGGUAAUAUGUAGUAAAUCCUUUAUGUUUAAAUCUUUAUUGAUUUUGUUGAUUUUGCAGCUAAAGUCAAGGUAUUCUUGAUUCAAUUGAUAAGUAAGGAGAACGCUCUUCUUCAAUGAGCCAUUAUUUGUUAAUUUUUAAAAUUGAUUUUCUGCAGUGUGGUUUGUCAAAAUAAUGAUCUCCUUCAUUCAUAGCAUGGAGCCUCUUUUUGUUCAAUCUUUAGUGUUGUUGGAGAGCAUGUAUGAUUUUGAUGUCUUGAGUCUAGAGUUUUCAUGAUCUUCUUUCUACUUUCUUUCGUUUCUUGAUCCAUUAGCCAUAUUGUUUUCUCCUUGAUUGCUUAAUUUCAGGUUUUCCUAUGAGCGAGAUCUUAGGGUUAUACUUCUCUUCAAUCUUCUUUUACAAUCCGUUAUCAAGAAUUAUUUCUGUAAUUUUUGGAUUAUUGAAUAUAAACUUCAUUGGAUAAUCGAGACAUACAUUUGGUAACUUUUGGAUUGUUAAAUUGUUAAUUUACUUUUUGGCGUUACACGAGAGAUGAUUUCGAUUUUUUAAUUCUGAAGUUUGUUUAUUCUUGUUCAAAAACUUUCUUUCGUUUCUUGUUUUCUUAACCUGUUGGCUGUAUUGUUCUGCUCCAUGAUUGCUUGAUUUCAGGGUUCUCCUGCUAGCAACAUGAGCAUUAGGGACUCGCUUAUUAUAUGGUCCCCUCAGAUUAUAGAUAUCAUGAAUUUUAACACUUCUCUUGACUCUUUGUUUACAAAUUGGUUAUCAAAACUUGUCUCUGUACUUUUUGGGAUAUAAUUCUUCAUUUGAUAAUCUGGCGAUGCUAUCCAUCUUGCAGUGAGCUGUGAAGUCUGCAUUAUCUAGAAAGUUUUUAUACACCUUGAAAGAACAACAGCUCCAGAUAGAUAAAUAUUAAAUUUCUUUAUUGAGCAAUUCUUUAUUAUUUUAAUUUCUGGCAUUCAAUUGCAAGACGUACCAUUUGAAUUUUGAACAUAUUUUCCUGCAGCAUAUGGUUUGUCACACUAAUAACCGUCUUCAUGGCAUGGAGCCUAGCAUUUUUAUUUGGUGAUCUCUAUUAAAUUCUUUUCAUUUUAUAAAUUUUUUAUCGACAUCCUAUAUCUUUUUUCUUUUUUCUUUUUUUGUUAUUUACUCUUCCGUGUUGCAGGAGAAGUGAUCGGUGAACAUACUCUGGUUCUAUUGAUCUUCCUCUUGUUUAUAUCUGAGAAGUUCAGCUUUAGUUUUUCUAACACCAUCAUACUGCUGAUUCAUUACAUUUUGGUUUUUGAUGUAAUCUGACAGUGUGAUAGUUUACACAAUGCUGGAGAAAUUGAGACUGUCUGAUGGAAUCUCAUUUAGGUUUUCUUACUUUUGUUUAGUAUUGGAAUAAAGCUGGUCAUACCUCUUACUUUUCAUUCAACCUUGCGACUAAAAAUUGGUUAUUUUUUUCAUGCAUGUUGAUUUGUGUUGGGAUGGGAUAGUUAUGCUCUGAUGGUGUGCCCUGCUAGUGUUGCAGUUUUUAUGUUUUUGUAUCAGGAGCCUCAGUGCAGGAGUCUGGAAUUUAUCCUUUCGCUUGGGUUUUUGAUCUUUAUGGAUUGGUGUUUCGAUAUCCUUUUUUGGAAUGUAGAUAUCAAGAAUUUCACAGUUUUCUCUCUUCUUUUAUGGAUCGUUUUUUUCAAGAGUUAUAUGUUUAUUUUUGAACUAUUGGUUCUAGUUUUUCAUAAUUAGAUGAUGGAGAUAUAUGUUUAACCAUUUUGCAGCAAGUGGCAGAAUUCUUGAAAACUAGAAACAUUUUACGAUUCUUGACACAAAGGAUAUGAACGGAGAAUGGCUUCAAAUAGAUAAAUCGAAUUUCUUCAGUGAUUCACUUUAUUGUUUUUAAUUUCAAGCUAUUGAUUAUGAGAAGAAUUGAACUGUGAACAUGCUUUUUCUGCAGCUUGGUGUGUCUAAGUAAGAACCUCCUUCUGAGCAUGGAGCCUUGAGUAUUUUUGUGGUGAUCUUUAUCUAGUAAAUUCAAUGCUCCUGAGAGCAUAUAUUUCACACUCUCAUGUUUUUCUUUUCUUUUUCUUUUUCUUUUCUUUCUUUCUAUUUGUGUUAUUUUUCGAUAUAAGUCUUCCUUUGAUAAUCGAAGAUCCGUUUAUCCGUUGUACUGUGAGCAGGGAAGUCUUAAAAUCUAGGAGACUUGAUGUAAUGGACAAGAACAGGGGAACGGCUUCUGAUAGAUAAACGAUUUUUCUUUAAUGAGUCCUUUAUUAUUUUAAUUUUUUCUGGGAUUUGAUAGCAAGGCAUAGAGCCUAGUGUAUUUAUAAACAUUGAAUUUUGAACAUUUUUGUCUGCAGCACGGUUUGUCAAACCGAUGACUUCCUUCGCAGCAUAGAGCCUAGUGUAUUUAUUUGGUGAUAUCUAUCAUAAUCUAUUUGUUUUCAAUAUUUCUUUAACUACUCUGAGAGUGAAUAUUUCUUGAUUCGUUACUCUUUGGUGUUGCAGGAGCAAUAAUCUAUGUAUGAUUUCUUACGAUUCUAUCUAUCAUUCUCUUGUUUGAUCCUCAUGUUAUUCUUUUCUGGUUGAUUCUUUGGUAGACUGAUGUUUGCAGUUCUUAUGUAAUGAUCUGAUUGUUUAGUUUGUUUGGGUUAUAAUUGAUUGUUCUCUAAUUUCUCUGUUACAGCAAGUAUUAUUAAUCGUCAACAGAUGUUGUUUUGUGUUUAAGGUUUGAGUAAUAGGUAACAGUUAUGUUUUGUGGAACUUGGAAACAUAGCUGGAGUUCUGAUAUGUCUAACAACGGCUUGGUUUGGAGAUUUAAACUAUCUUCCGUCUGUUUGUCAUGGUUAAGUGUUACAUAGGUUUGAAGUGCAACAGAAGUCUCCAAUCACAUUUCACUUUUAAGUUUUCCUUCUGAAAUGGAGAAAUUGGUUUGUGCUACUUACUUAUAAAAAGGAUAUUUGAUUUGAUAUAGACUUUCGACUGUUGAUAGGAUUGAGUUGCCAAUCUGAACAUAGGGAGAAAUUGGUGAUUAGUGCCUCUUUCCUUUGUACUACUUAUCUUCUGUCAACUAAUUAACAAGGAUAAAUGAUUUGAUAUACGUAAUUAACAAGAAUACGUGACUUGACAUAAAAUUUCAACUGUUGCUAGGAUUGAUUUGGCAAUCUGGACUUGGGGAGAAAUUGGUGGAGAUGAGUGCCUCUAUCUUUUGUACUACUUAACUUCUGUCAACUAAUUAAUACAUGAUUUGAUAUACGUUUUCGUCUAUUGCUAGGAUUGAUUUGGCAAUCUGAAUUUAGCGAGAAAUUGGUGGAGUUGAGUGCCUCCAUUUGUACUACUUAUCUUCUGUCAACUAAUUAACAACAUGAUUUAUGUUUUCAACUGUUGCUAGGAUUUAUUUGGCGAUCUAAACUUAGGGAGAAAUUGGCGGAGAUGAGUGUCUCUGUCCUUUUGUUUGUACUACUUAUCUUGUUUCUAUGAUCAACGUAGUUUUCAUUGAUAUUUGUAAUUUAUGAAGAUGUCCUCUUCAUUACAGUGGCCCAAGGACUCCUCUGUAUUUGAGUUUUAUGUGUGUGAUACGAAGGAGAAACCUAUAAAUGUGGCAAGAAGCGAGGUUCCAUUCAGCCUUGGGAUAAAAAUGGUAAUUUCUAGCGGUGUCCUCUGAUGGUUUCUUGCAAGUGUCAAGUUUUUGUUGAUCUGUAUCAGGAGUGAGUAUGAAGCAUAUAAGAAUUCUGGACUGGUUUGGCACUUUAAUUUGUUGAAUUCUGGACUGGUUUGGCACUUUAAUUUGUUGAUUUGUCCCUUCCUCUGCUAUAAUCCUUUUCUAUUUUAACACACAACUUUGCACUUUACUGUUUAUACAAAUGAUUUGUUAGAGAAAUUCAAGGUUGUUUUUUUAUUUAUAUCAAACUGUUUCUUCCUAUGUGUGUUAUUGAAUGAAUUAUGAAGGAGUUGCCUCAACAUGUUGAAAAUUUUGAGAAAAUGCAAGUCAUGUUGACUAUCCUUGAACUUCUUUUAGCAAGUCUUUUUUAAGCACAUCCUUCCUGUUCUUGUUUUGAACAAAGUAGGUAAAAAAAAAAUUAAGAGAGAACCUCAAAACAAAAUCUGGCUAAACCACAACAACUUCAAACACAAAUCUAAAAACAUGAGUGAGUGCCUAAAGCUCAGACCGAAUCCUAGCAAUGCAUCAAACUUCCUAACCUUCGCACUAGAAACGUACCAAAAUUCAAUAUGUGGACUAAUGCUUCCGCAAUUUCCUAAGUUCUUUGUCCACUGCUAUUUCUCGAAUGCAGCUACGAAGCUUAAUCCACUGCGUCAUGGGUAAUGAGAUACCUGAAAACAAGUAUAAAAUUUCAUUGCAAAUUCUUCAUUUGCAAUGAAAACAAAAAUGAAGAAUUUGCAAUGAAAUUUUACUCUUGUUCAGGUAUCUCAUUACCCAUGACGCGGUGGAUUAAGCUUCGUAGCUGCAUUCGAGAAAUAGACAAUGCAGUGGACAAAGAACUUCGGAAAUUGCGGAAGCAUUAGUCCACAUAUUGAAUUUUGGUACGUUUCUAGUGCGAAGGUUAGGAAGUUUGAUGCAUUGCUAGGAUUUGGUCUGAGCUUUAGACACUCACUCAUGUUUUUAGAUUUGUGUUUGAAGUUGUUGUGGUUUAGCCAGAUUUUGUUUUGAGGUUCUCUCUUAAUUUUUUUUUUAUACCUACUUUGUUCAAAACAAGAACAGAAAGGAUGUGCUUAAAAAAGACUUGCUAAAAGAAGUUCAAGGAUAGUCAACAUGACUUGCAUUUUCUCAAAAUUUUCAACAUGUUGAGGCAACUCCUUCAUAGUUCAUUCAAUAACACACAUAGGAAGAAACAGUUUGAUAUAAAUAAAAAAACAAACUUGAAUUUCUCUAACAAAUCAUUUGUAUAAACAGUAAAGUGCAAAGUUGUAUAAACAGUAAAUGAUUUGGUUCUGACUUUUAUUUUCAUACAUGUUAAAUUGAAAAUAUGUUGUUUUGAUGCAAUGUUGUGUGUUAAAUGACAGUAACAUUCAAUUUGGUUGCUUUCUUUUUUGCCGAUUUUUAUUGAUGUUCAAUUGAGAAGGUCACCCUUAGAAGUUGUUGCUAUCAAUACUACUUUUUCAACGGUGCAAAGUUUAUGCCAUUCUAGAGAUGCUGGGAUAGCUUGAUGGGGCCGCUCUUUGUUAUGCUGCUGAUCUUCAACUUGAUUAGAGGAAUCAGGCUGCUAUUCUUUCUCUCUUAGUUCUUUUUGUUGCAACCUAUUUGUUACAGCAUAAUUUUCUGUACAUUUUCAUCUGGUGUUAACGGGGUUAGUGUUACAUGGGUUUGGUGUACCACAAAUGUUAACUUCUUUCUCAAUCACACUGCACCUUUUCAAUAGUAUCUGGAAAGUGGAGAAAUUGAAGAUAACUGUCUUUGUUUGAGACUCUUCAACUUCCCUUGGUUCUUUUGAACAGACUAUGAAUAUUUGGUGUGCUGUGAUCUGUGGAAGCCAAAGGUUAACAUACUAUUUAUUCUGAACCGCCUGGUUUGGAGUUUAUUUGUUCUCGAAAUCUGCCAUUCUUUUUGUUAUCUGUGAUAUAUGAGAAUAAGAAUCUUUUCCCCCAAAUCUGUAUAUCUUUGUCACAGCAAGGAAUCAUAAAUUUAUGUUGUUGCACAUGGAGCAGAAAUCUGCAAUUAGCUGUGACUUAAUUCUGACUAUUCGGUAUACUUCCACUUGGUGAUCUCCACUCUAAAUACUAAUUCGUCACGGGUGUCUCUUAGGAAUUUAGUUUUCUUGAUUCCUUAAGUUCCAUGUGUCUGUUAUAGGGGGAUGGGACUGCAAAAGCUAUGGCGAGAAUAAGAAGUUCUGCGAUAGCCUAUGAAUGUAAUGUGGGAUGGUAUAAGUUGUGGUAUUUGGCGAUCAACUAAUUAACAAGGAUACAUGAUUUAUGUUUUCGGCUGUUGCUAGGAUUAAUUUGGCGAUCUGAACUUAGGGAGAAAUUGGCGGAGAUGAGUGUCUCUGGCCUUUUGUUUGUUCUACUUAUCUUGUUUCUAUGAUCAACGUAGUUUUCAUUGAUAUUUGUAAUUUAUGAAGAUGUCCUCUUCAUUACAGUGGCCCAAGGACUCCUCUGUAUUUGAGUUUUAUGUGUGUAUACGGAGGAGAAACCUACAAAUGUGGCAGGAAGCAAGGUUCCAUUCAGCCUUGGGAUUUAAAAUGGUAAAUUUUCUAGCGGAGUCCUCUGAUGGUUUCUUGCAAGUGUCAAGUUUUUGUUGAUCUGUAUCAGGAGUAAGUAUGAGGCAUAUAAGAAUUCUGGACUGGUUUGGCACUUUAAUUUGUUGAAUUCUGGACUGAUUUGGCACUUUAAUUUGUUGAUUUGUCCCUUCCUCUGCUAUAAUUUUUUUCUAUUUUUCUGCUGUUUGUGGUUAUAUAUAAACAAGAAUAAAAAUAUUCACUCCAAAAUGGGGUAUUCCUCACAGAUUCUGCAAUUGGAGCAAGGACUUUGUUGCAAGUGUCAGUUUUUGCGGUUCUGUCUCAGGAGAGCAUGAAGCAUAUAAGAAUUCUACUAUAAUAAUUCGUUUUCUAUUUUCCAGCGUUUCGUGGUAUAUAUAAAUAUGGAUAAGAAUUUUGUCUCCAAAAGCCUAACAGAUUCUGCAAUUGGAGCAAGGACUUGGUUUAAGGGGGACCUCAAUGGAGCACAAGAAUCUGCAAUUGGCUGCCGUUGUUAAGCUUUCAUUUGGUUAUCUCUACUUUGACAAUGAUUUCUUCACGUUUCCUUGUCUUUUUCGUGGAUUUAGUUUUCUCGUUCCUUGUGUUUGUAACUGGGGUUUUUUGUUGUGAAAUUUUCUCAGCUCUUGUUGCAGUGGAUAUGAUAUACUGUGAUUUUAAAGCUGCAGCGAACCUUAAUAUUACGAACAUGCAGACCCUUGGAUUUUACGGUUCAUUUUCUUGCCUUGAAUGUACUUAUUCUGGAAAAUAGGUGUCCUUUGGCAUUGUAAUGUGUCAUUGUUUAGAAUUAUUAAACUAAAUAUUAGGAGAGCUUCAACAAUAUUUAUGAUUCUGUCCAUCUUUCUUGGAUAAUCAAGAGAUACACCUCUGUUUUGCAGAGGGCUAAAGUUUGGAUAUCUACAACGUUUGGAGAUACACUAGUCCAGAUAUAUCAAAGUCGUUCCUUUACUUUUUAAGUUUUGGGCUUUGUUCUUAAGACAUGCUGCAGAUUGGAUUGUGAGAGUACAUAUUUCUUGAUUUCUUAUUUUCCUUUUUGGUGCUCCAAGAGAGGUGAUCUAUUAAUGUUGAGUAUUCCUUCUGUUCUUUUGGAUUGUGUGGGUGUUACAGGGGAGACGGACUAUGAAAUGUGGUGUGCAGUGACCUGUGGAAACCGGAGGUUAACAUACUAUCCAUUCAGCCGUGUGAUACGAUCAGUUAUGUUACAGUGUUAGGGAUAAUUUUCCUUUAAAAUGUCUCGUGCUAGUAUUGGAUAUAUGUGUUUUGCCAUCAGGAGCGUGAAUACUGAAGCAUACAAGGAUAUGAUUUUGCCCGCGAUGAGGAUAUGAAAUUCUAGACAGCUUGGUUGGUGUUAUGUUCUGGUUGGUAGUCUGCCGUCUUUUCUAGUUAUAUAAGAAUACGAAUCUUCUGUCCCAAAUUUGUAGCUUUGUCAGUGGAGUAGAUAUUCCCUUAUGGUUUGACCUGCCUGUAUCUGUAAUCUGUUUUGGACAGCUUGGGUGGUCUCUUAUUGUCCUAAUGGCGGUUUUUAAUCGCGGAGCUUUUCUAUAGCCUUUGUUAUUUGAUGAUGUGCAUAUGAAUAAAUUGGUUCUCCUAAGUGGAUAUUUCUGAGUGCACCGGCUUCAAGGUGAUUUCUACUUGGUUAUACAUCCUUUGUGCUUUCUGCUUGGAUUGGUUCUUUGUAUUUUAUCUCAGUCGUUGCAAAUGUAGGUGGAUUGUGAAAUGUGAAAUGCAUGUGUUGAAUAUCAUGAUAGACCCUCCAUUCAGCCUUUGGACAAAACAGGCAAUUUUCUUACUAUUAAUGGUGUGUUACAACCACAAUAAUGGAAUAUAGCUCUUUGCGUAACCAAGUGUGCAGAGUCUAUUGUUUCUCCUUGGUGCAUUAGUUAGGCCUGCUUCUAGCUUAGGAAUUCUUCAUGUGUUGUGAAAGUUGUCUUUUGACAGUAUAUAUGUAUAUGUAUAUGUAUUUUGGAAGUAUAUGUAUAUGUAUAUGUAUUUUGAAAGUUAUCUUUUGAUUGUUUGACCUAGCAGUGUUAACUAGAGUACAAAAUUAAAAUAUGAUAAGGGAAGUAACUAUAAGAAAAUGCUGUUUUAUGUUUAUGAUGUACUAAUGAACAAUUUUGUUAUUUUCA